rnacentral:snRNA from 1 species
GGAUAUUAAGGUGAUCUGCCUGACAUCNGUCAGUCAUCCCAUUGGUCACCUGAUGUGGCCUAUCUGGCUAGCUAAGUGGGAGUCCCUUUCCUCACUUUCUGCCCCCACAUGUGUCUCUCUUGAAGCUGCUUGCUUAGUCAAAGAGGAUGACCUUCCUUCAUAGAGGAAGAUGGCUCUUUGAUCAAGGAUAUAGUUCUAACUUCGCUCCCUGUUAGAAGCCAAGGGUAGAAGCCUUUAUGUCCAACACAUUGCAUUGUUCACCAGUGGGGAGGGGCUUUGGGGAAAAGAGGAGAAGGAGACAAAAGUGCGUCUGUGCUCAGCNGGAGUUAUGCUGAGCCAC